UACGAAGGGAGCUAGCGUUGUUCGGAAUCACUGGGCGUAAAGCGCACGUAGGCGGAUUUGCCAGUCAGGGGUGAAAUCCCGGGGCUCAACCUCGGAACUGCCUUUGAUACAGCAAGUCUUGAGUUCGAGAGAGGUGGGUGGAAUUCCUAGUGUAGAGGUGAAAUUCGUAGAUAUCAGGAGGAACACCGGUGGCGAAGGCGGGUAGCUGGGCCGACACUGACGCUGAUGCGCGAAAGCCAGGGGAGCGAACGGG
rnacentral:rRNA from 1 species